AUAUAUGCUCAUAUUCUGCAUAUGUUAAUAUUUCUAACUCCACUGGGCAAGUAGGAGGUUGGAGCCCUUUUCUCCUGUUGCCAUGAUGAAUCAUGUUAUCUGCGUUCCUUUGAUUAGGGCUUUUUAUCUCCUCAUGCACGUGCUUUACUCAGGGUUAACUUAACUCAGAGUUGAUUGAACUAAUUGUUAUCACCUCCUCUGAAACCGAAAACUCAAGAGUUUGACAGCUCAGAGUUAGUCAACCCAGAGUUCAGGUUUAAACUCAGAGUUUGUUAAACCUGCUUUCUGAAACAGGGCCCAGGUCUUGACACGUUCCUCAAUAAUAAAUCCGCAUCUGCGGGAAUUGCAUCUAAAACAAUUGCAAAACUCCACACUUGACUCUCAGCUGCGCGAUAUACUUACAUACGUCAUCAAUUUGGGCACCAGGUGUGUCCAUAUAGCCAAAGACAGAAGGCGUAACAUCGCGAGACUUCCGGGAUCUUACUUACUUAUACGUUUUCUCGAAAUCUAAAGGAACAACCUAGAUUCGAGCCAAUGUCUUAUGUAGUUGAACUUGUUAUUACUCCAACCCUGUGAGAGUCACAAACUGACACGUUUUCAUUUUCGUCAAAAACAACUUUAUAUAGGAGUGCCUCUGAGUUGACGACAUGCACAUGCGCAGUUCGGCGCGAGACGACCCGAUAACGUGUUUCUACGUAUGAGCUUUGCUAGCCAACAUCGCCAACAAGCGUGCCCGAUGAUCUUCAUGAUGUACCGUCUUUGGUAUAGCCUCUCCCUGGCUAGGUGUCUGGCUAGCGGCUAACUGUCAAACACGCAGGUGCGAAGCAGAACACUAAGCAAAGCGACAACGAUUCAUCGGUGUUUCUGCGAUCAUCUGUAAAUUACUGAGUGGUCCGUCCAAUAUUAUCUUCCCCCUCAAUGCACCCAAGCGCCAUAAAUGAGUUCCAGGCAGCGAUGAUUUUACAAGGCUGUCGCUUGAGCAUUCUGGUAGUUCGUGUGUGUUUGUGGCAUCUUUUAAUUGAUGUAGUUUCUCAGACUGUACAUCUAACAUGGGGAUAGAGAAUGUGGGAAAAUUCGAGUUUGGGAAACCCUGCUCUAUGUGACUGGAGCCAUGCAUCAGGUGCCAGGUGUGCAGGAGCUCUUCGCCUGAUCAGCAUCCUUGACCUCAUCAACCAGUAAACUUGAGUUUACCCAUUGCGGUUUACCGUAGCAUUUGUAAGAAGCAGUGGAAAUGCUGAAGACCUUUUUAUAAACAUAAGAACCCAAAUGCCCCCAAGACAAGGAGUGAGAUACUGUUGAUGUCCAGCAGGGGGCAAUAUUAGUUAAGUAAUGAGGUGAGGAGCAGAGAACGAUCAUGAGGCAAAGGGAGUAGCUAACAAAGGGUUCUCCUGAAACAGACUUGGAACACAACAAUGGGUCCUAUGGAUUUUUGUCUGACAAAGAAAUUAAAUGGACUUUUUCAUAUUUUCACGUAUUCGCUCAGCCUUUUGCAUCAGCACUCAUUUUUAUUUUCAUAUUAUUGAUAGUGUUUUAUACCCUUACAGCAUAGUUUGGAUGGACAGUGGACACUAUCCAGGGCCUGUAAAGUGGCUUGCUGCUAAAACAGCCUCUACUCUUCUGGGAAGGCUAGAUGUUGGAAUAUUUCUGUGGGGACUUCCAUUCAGCCACAAGAGCAUUAGUGAGUUCGGCCACUGAUGUUGGGCGAUUAGGCCUGGCUUGCAGUCUGCGUUCCAAUUCAUCCCAAAGGUGUUCGAUGGGGUUGAGGUCAGGGCUCUGUGCAGGCCAGUCAAGUUCCUCCACACCGAUUUCGACAACCCAUUUGUGUAUGGACCUUGCUUUGUGCACAGGGUCAUUGUCAUGCUGAAACAGGAAAGGGCCUUCCCCAAACUGUUACCACAAAGUUGGAAGCAUAGAAUCGUCUAGAAUGUCAUUGUAUGCUGUAGCAUUAAGAUUUCCCUUCACUGGAACUAGAGCCUAGCCCCAACCAUGAAAAACAGCCCCAGACCAUUAUUCCUCCUCCACCAAACUUUAUAGUUUGCACUUUGCAUUGGGGCACGUAGCGUUCUCCUGGCAUUCGCCAAACCCAGAUUCAUCCCUAUAUGCUGUCUUGUCAUUGUUGGUGAUCAGGCCUGCCACUGUUGUGUCAUCGGCAAAGGUAAUGAUGGUGUUG